GGAAUCUUCGGCAAUGGGGGCAACCCCUGACCGAGCAACGCCGCGUGAGUGAAGAAGGUUUUCGGAUCGUAAAGCUCUGUUGUUAAAGAAGAACACGUAUGAGAGUAACUGUUCAUACGUUGACGGUAUUUAACCAGAAAGUCACGGCUAACUACGUGCCAG
rnacentral:rRNA from 1 species